rnacentral:lncRNA from 1 species
GAGAGGCCGAGAAGAUUGAGUUGGAAAAACAGAUUCAUAGUCUGAAGAAACAGAUUUGGGGCUAAAUCAGGUUUUCGACUUUUUCAUAAGUUGUUCUUUAUUGCAGGAAUGUGCUAUGUCAUGAAGUAAGCAGAUAGGAUAUUAUCAUUAGGUUGGCCAAAAAAAAUUAUCUUUACAUGAGAGACUGUAUUGUACUUUUAUGCAUUUUGGGGAUGAACUUCACCUUUACCCCAUUAAUUAUCGUGUACGCUCUCUCUGAUUUGCUCUGACCUUAUGCUAGAAAACACUAUCUCACAUGCAAAAGUUUUAUUCCAGUCAUACAGAUGCAGUUGACUUUUUCAAUUUGUCGAACUACAAUACUGUGAAUUCGUAUUAAUUAGUGUGUGUGAAUUAAGCUGGCUGACCUGUGCAGUACUGUGAUUUCUUACUACCAGUCCUAAGCUGAUUGAUCUAUCUUAUGUGCUCAUAGUUCAUGUUUUGCAACAUGAUGCAUGGAUGAUCUAUAAGUUAGUACUGGUAAACAUAGAAAGUAAUACAUAGGCGAAUUCAAAAGGGUACCUUGAUCCUUCCUUUCCUCAUCAAUAUACAAUCUGUAGUUUACACAUAGACAGACCGAUUACACAUAUGCAAGUGCAAAAAAGAUUUAUUAUUCGAAAAAGUAUGUUUUUGGUCCCUCAAGUUUACCAAAAGUAUACAACUGGCCCCUCAAAAAAAAUUGGGUGACAUUUGGCCCCUCGAGUGUAGAAACCGGGUAAGUUUCAUCCAAAACCUGGUUUCAGUGGGAAACGGGCCGUGUGGCAGCGGCUUUCUAUGUCCUCACUUGUCACAUCGGAUGGGCUAUUUGGUCAAACCCAUCACCCANNNNNNNNNNNNNNNNNNNNNNNNNNNNNNNNNNNNNNNNNNNNNNNNNNNNNNNNNNNNNNNNNNNNNNNNNNNNNNNNNNNNNNNNNNNNNNNNNNNNNNNNNNNNNNNNNNNNNNNNNNNNNNNNNNNNNNNNNNNNNNNNNNNNNNNNNNNNNNNNNNNNNNNNNNNNNNNNNNNNNNNNNNNNNNNNNNNNNNNNNNNNNNNNNNNNNNNNNNNNNNNNNNNNNNNNNNNNNNNNNNNNNNNNNNNNNNNNUGGUGCUGGUAGAAGCUAUGGCAGCAGCGCACCGUUGUUCUUUCCCCUUGACUUGAGGAACUAAAUGUCACCCAAAAAUUCUUGAGGGGACACUUUUAUUCUUUUGGUAAACUUGAGAGACCAUAAGCGUACUUUUCUCUUAUUAUUAUACAAAAAUGGUUAAGAAAAAAGAUAAAGAUCUAUGUCAUGAUUUUUUAGGAAUCAUCAAAGGAUUUACCUUGCCACUCGCUUGGAGAAUAGUGCUUGGAGUGGUAGAAUUCAUCCCGGCGAGGUUCAUGAUUGUGGUACCUGUGUAAAAGAGUGCAUGGGCAUUAUCGCCAGCCAAAACAACUUAACACCACUCAUGAGAACAUUGUGUCAUCGAGUUCCCUCCGCGAAAUUUCCUCCUCACUACCUGAAGGUGGUGGUUGUGAAGUGGGAGAUGAUUUGAGGGCAUGGAAGGAGGCACUUGGAGAAGACAAGGGGUGGUGGAGCUCCCGACGGUCCUCGCUGGAUUUGAAGGCGACGCUAUUGAGAAAUCGGAUGGCGGCGGGGGCUGGGAGAGGCAUGGGUUUCUAGGGUUAGGGAUAGGUGGCGGGGUAUAUAUUGAAAGGAGAACGUAGAUUGGCCGUAGGAUCUCCAUCAAGAGAUACCUAAACUUGAUUGGGUUUUUCUGAACAGAAAAUCGUUCCCUUUAAUUAUAACUCCGAUACGUCAUAUGCUCGCACUUUAUUUUCCUUUUCUGUGUAAUUGAAACUUUUCCUAUUUAUAAUAUUGGCCACCAAUUAAUAGCCAUUCGUGCAUAUAGACGCAUUUGUGUAUUUUUGUAUUUCAUCGUUUUAACUCUUAGUGAAAUUAUCUGAAUGCAUUUUGGCUAGCUCGUAUGAGAAUCGAAAGGAUGGAGUGAACCGAAGAUUUGACCAUGAAAAUUUUAAAUUAUAUGUCUGAAUUGCCUCAGAAAGUAAUUUCACAUUGUUUUUUAAUUUUAUGGAUAUAUUGUAAUCAGAAGUAAUGGUCAAAGUUGUUUUUCUGAAGUUUGCUAAUGUCCGAAUGAAUCACACGUUUUACAUCAUUGGAUGGAUAUCACAGUCAAUAAGAAAGAUUUGAUAUCAUUAACCCACGAGAUUUGGUCUCUUCUCUUUUCAAUUUUCUUGAACAAUCUUCUCUCUCCAUUUCAGUUCACCGACUGCAACCGGUCGAGGCCAUUAAUUACUCCACAGUAGCUAUCGGAACCUCCAGAUUGACUGUUCAGUUUGAUCCUGAGGUUCAGGCCGGCUGGGGAUGCAAUGCUUCAUGGGUUUGAAGGACUGGAGCCCCGGAUUUUGACUUGUGUUUAAACCGUGCUAGGUGUAACAUGUUAUAGUCUGUAUGUUUGGUAGCAUUUAAGGAGAGCGCAACUCCGAUCUUGAUCAGGGUCCAGAGCCAAAUCGCCUGUGUUUCAGUUACCAGUGUAGUCUCCUUUCAAAAAAAAGUUACCAGUGUAGUCAUCUUAUCAAGUGCUGGUGACCAAAUGGCGCAGCCAUCCAAAGUGUUUAAACUGUGCUAGGUAGACCGUAGACGUAACAUCUUAGUUUGACUGUUUGGUGGUAUUUCAAUUGCUACCUCGUAAGCCAAAGGUUACAAAAGAAUCUCAAUAAUCGGAGUCUAACACGGGUUAGGCCAACUUCAAUGCGCCGACCCAUUUGGUCCGCACGCGUCCGUUUGGAUCGAAACAACAGAAAUCGUGGCCCAAUGCGCCGACGUCCGCCUGCUACCCAUUUCCGGCCCAAUUUGGGCCUGGUUUGUGUCGGCAUGGACACUGCACGGAUACAUAGGACGCUCUCCCUUGUCUCCGGGCCCGCCCAUAGGUGGCACAUCGGCCAUUUUCCACCUUCGGCCAUGCCGCCCUCACCACCGCCACCCACUUCCCGCCGCUUGGACGAUGCCCAGGCCGCCGCCCUCAUCCACCCACUCCCCCGACCUCAACGCCGCAUCCGAGGCACACCCUUGCCGGUUUUGGUGGCCUCUUACCACCGCCGUCGUAGCACGAGAAGGCAUGGAUGUUGGGCCUCCACUUCUGCUGGCCUCGCACUCCCAAGCAGUCGGCACCACCCUCGCCUCCACUUCAGCCGGCUAGCUGCAUGUACGUGGAGGGCGUGGGGCUCUUCAUCAGUCGUUACCCCACCAUGCCCACAAGGUGUUCGACAUUUUGCUCGCAAGGUACCAUGGACAGUGGGGAUGAGUUCUUUUUCAAUAAUUUUAUUUGUUCAUCGGACGAUCAUGAUUUUGUGGUUGCGACUAUGGUAGUCGAUGACCACAUUGCUAGGCAGUGGCUGAGGUUUAGGGGAUUGAUCCGGGGCCAUGUUCCGACAUUGAACCACAACAGAGAGAGCGGCCAUUGCCUACUCUACGCGGAUUACUUUCAGUGCAGCCCCACUCUUCAAUCCCAAGAUUUGGCGUUGUUUCUGAGUGGCGAGACAUGUGUUCAACUGUAUUCGGGAAGGAGUGGUGGCAUAUGAUGAUUAUUUUGAUGCAAAGAGGAUGCCCUUAGAAAGGUUGCCUUGUACUCUUUUUAGAAAUGCACUGCAGCUAUUCGGAUGCUUGAAUACGGAAUUCCCAAUGAUCUUCUGGAUGAGUAUUUCCGCAUGAGUGAGUCCACAUGUCUUGCAUCAUUGUACAAGUUUUGCGAGGCUGUCGCAGGAGUGUUUGGCCCGGAGUACCUGAGAGAGCCAAAUACCGCGGAUAGAGCCCGGUUGUUGGCGAUCAAUGCAAAGACAAGCUUUUCGGGAAUGCUUGGGAGCAUAGAUUGUAUGCACUGGAAGUGGAAGAACUGUCCAUUUGCUUGGCAGGAGUAGUAUAAGCGGCAUGUUAAAGCUUGCACUGUAAUACUUGAAGUUCUGGCUUCACAAGAUCUUUAGAUUUGACACUCCUUUUUCGGCAUGGUUGGUUCUCGCAAUGACAUCACGUGCUUCAACGCUCUUCGGUGUUUGAAAGGCUUGCAAAAGGGUCAACUUUGAGAUAAAUGGCCACCAUUACAACAAGGGAUACUACCUAGUUGAUUAAAUCUAUCCUCAGUGGUAAACUCUUGUGAAGAUAAUAUCCAAUCCGAUAGGAGAAGAGGGCUAGGGUUGCCCAAGCACAAGAGAGUGCUAGGAAGGAUGUGGAGCAUGCUUUUGGUGUGCUUCAAUCUCAGUGGGCUAUCAUUCAUGUUAGAAGGGAUAGAGAGAGAUUUGUGGAAUCGUUGAUUUAUUGCUUGAGCCUCGUGGGCAUAUAUAUAGGAGUACAUGGUCAUCUUGGAGUACAAGGCAAGGUAGAAUAAAUCCUACACUAUCCUGUGUUUCCUAAAUAAACAUUAUACUCAACAUCCCCCCGCAGUCACAACGGUAGCGACGCAGACGGUGAGACUGGAGAAGAAUCUGAAGGCAAGCCNNNNNNNNNNNNNNNNNNNNNNNNNNNNNNNNNNNNNNNNNNNNNNNNNNNNNNNNNNNNNNNNNNNNNNNNNNNNNNNNNNNNNNNNNNNNNNNNNNNNNNNNNNNNNNNNNNNNNNNNNNNNNNNNNNNNNNNNNNNNNNNNNNNNNNNNNNNNNNNNNNNNNNNNNNNNNNNNNNNNNNNNNNNNNNNNNNNNNNNNNNNNNNNNNNNNNNNNNNNNNNNNNNNNAGGUGUGGCUAGAGUGGGAACCGACGAGGUUGCUCAAGCAAGGCAGUGGCCUUUUGUGCCGUUUAUCGAUGUAGCCGAGAGCGUAGGGUGGUGUAGCUGUGGUCGAGGUAGCCAUGCAUGCGAAGAACGCCGUGGUCGAUGUCGAGUCGGGGUGGCCGGUGUCGAGGAAGUCAUCGUGGAGCUGCGGGUGCAAGGAGGCACCGAGUUAGUCAUGGGCGCAGUAGUGUCGAAGAACUGGUGCGCCGGGAAGAAGACGGGGUUGACGAGGCGUCGCGCCGGGUGUGCCAAGCCCGGUGACACGUCGUGGACGAAGGCACGCAUCGGUGUUGCCAGCACAGGGCAUGUGUAGACGGACGAAGACGAAGUUGACGAAGCGUCGCACCAGGCUUCCCAGGUCUGGGGAAACGUCCUGGACGAAGGCACGCAUCGGUGUUGCCAGCACCCGGAUGCGUGGACUGGGACCUGCACGAGUUGUACGCCAUGUCGAAGAAGUCAGAGAGGCCAGCAGAAAAGGGGACUCGACGACGGUUGCGACGCCAAUCGGCGCGGGGCCGAUGUCGCUGACGGUGGUCGGAGUAUAUGAAGUGGUCGGGGGAGAUCAUGAUGACGCUAGCGACCGGCUGGUGUUGGACGAAAACGAAAGGGGUGGACGGGCGGCGCGGCUCGGGUGAGCGAGAAGCGGCGGCGGCUGGGUUAGGCGCGGCGAUGCUCGAAGUAGGCGAGGAAGAACCCGACUGCGUGACGAAGACCGGCGCGGAUGGUGGCGUCCCCACACCAAGGGAGGCGGCGCGACACAUACCACGGGAAGUCGAUGCGCGGGGACGGCGGAGUGGACCGCGCACCGCGGCGCUACGGCCCGAAUGGGCGACGCAAUAGCAACACGAGGGUCAGAGCGACGACAGGAAGACCUCGGGGCGGCGACGUGGACCGCGUGCCACGCUCGCUACGGCCCGAUGGGGCGACGUAGCGGCAGCGCGAGGGUCGGUGCAGCCAAGGGGACGGUCUGAAGCAGACGGUCUCAGGGCGGCGGUGGACCGCGAGCCGCAGCACUAUGGCCGAAGGGGCAAUGUAGCAGCAGCACGCGUGUUGGUGCAAACACAAGGACGGCCUCGGACGACGGCGUGGACAGUGUGCCGCGGCACUACGGCCCGAAGGAGCUACACGGCUGCGGUGCGCGAGUAGAUGCAGCCACGAAAAAAACCACGGCGGUGCGGUGCUGUGGCUCGACGGGGCGACGCAGCAGCAGCCUUUGCUCGAUCAGUGGAGAUGUACAGAUACUCGAUGACGAUGUCUAUGAAAUCCAGCGAAGAGACGCGUAUACGGUUGAUCAGACCAUAGUCACGGUUGGCAAGAUCAAGAAAACGAAGAUGUCGGUGAGGUAUCCAAAACACGCAUGCGCGACUCGGACGUGGCAGGAGUACGACCUGGCAAAGACACAUGCUGUGCAGGGACGCGUCUAGGCUUGCAAGCGGCAACACCCGCCUAGAAUGCAACGCGCACGAGCAGGCAAACCUGCGCAGGACGUGUUUCAGAUCGGAUCCCGAUCACGAUCUCCAAAACACCCUCGUCCAGGACAUUGCAUCGCGCAUGCAACGAGCUGAUGCACGUGAGCACUGCAUCGAAGCUAGCCUGCAGACGGAGCAUGAGGCCACCUGCGUCGUUAUCGUUGAAGUCGCGAGAGACGCGCCGGGACGAACGAGGCGGAGGCCGGUGCAGUGUCAGCCAAGGUUGAAGUAGAUGCGCGCGAAGAAUCGACGAGCGGCGGCGGGCGAUGCAAUCUGAUUUUAGAUCGGUAAACCAAAAAAAAUAACACCAUCAAUCGAUCGGCAAGAGAGAAAAUCCGGAGCAAGGGCUCGGGAAAAAUAUUCUUUAGGGCAGCCGGUUAACACGAUCGGCGGACAAACCCUAGAUACGGUUGGUGCAGCCCCCGGCGGCAGUCAUGGGGGACGACCAUCCCAAGGGCGGCGCGUGGGUGCGAAAGCUGCGGCGGCUAGGGUUUAGGAUCGAGGUAAGGCUGCUACCAUGUUAGAAGGGAUAGAGAGAUUGAUGGAAUCGUUGAUUUAUUGCUUGAGCCUUGUGGGCAUAUAUAUAAGAGUACAUGGUCAUCUUGAAGUACAAGGCAAGGUAGAAUAAAUCCUACACUAUCCUAUGUUUCCUAAAUAAAUAUUAUACUCAACAGUUCAUCAGCCCGCUAGAACAUGAAGCCGGCGUAAGAUGUGUAUGAUGAUGACUGCUUGUGUGAUCAUGCACACCAUGUUCGUAGAGGAUCAUGCACACCAUCUUCAAUGAAAGGUUUUUGUCUCAGGGUGAAAAUGUUGUGCCUGAGCAUGGACUAGCAACUUGGUAUAGUUCAUCCAAUUUCAUUAUGAAAUGUGUGAUUGGGCAACUCACAUUUAACCCAAAAUAAUUUGGUUGAGCACAUGUGAACUCACCUUGUCAACCAAUAGAGGUAUCGCCCAAUUUCCUUUAAUAUAUUUGUGAAAUUUAAAUUUGAUUGUAAACUAUGAGUUUUUUAUUUUGCUGUAAACUAAUUAUUAUUCUGGUGUGAAACUAUGUGAUUUAUUUGGUUGUAACUAUGUGCAAUGUUUAUUUUUAGUUAGAUUUAUAUGCAUGAAAGUCUAAACUGCAAAAUUGAGUAAAUUUGGCCGGCUACCGGCCUGGUGGACCAAAUGGGUUCGUCAUUUGGGCGUACUGGCCAACAAAACACGGAUGAGGGCGGACAGGGCGCCUCCAGCCGACCCAAACGGACAAAAAACAGACCAAAUUCGUGUCCGUUUCUGUCGGCGCGUUGGAGUUGACCUUAGAAUUCUCUGUAGUAGCACCACAGUACAGACCCGACCUCACUUUUCAUUUGCACCACAAUGGGGUGCGAUACUGCAGAGGAUCUCAACAACCUUGACAUGCUACUAGUGGGUGAAGUUUGUCGUUUUGGUUGGAGUUCAGGUUUUUGCCAAGAAGACUUGUACGAGAUCUCACAUUAGGUGAGAUUGUGAGAUUAACCCUAAAAAUUCAUAUUUACACAUUUUAAAAAAAAACUAAAAUUAUUUGACAACAUCCAUGUGGGUAUGUCUAGAACUCCGAAAAAAAUCAGCUCAAAAAUCGAUGUACAUUUAGAUAUACAAAAAAGACAAAUUGAAAUGUGAAUAGUGGCAGCUUUGGGUGAAUAGUACUUUGACACUAUUCACAUCUGAUUUUGUGUUUUUGUUUAUAUUAAUGUAAGUUGAAUUAGGAGCUGAAACUUUUUGAGAUUGUACAUCAAACAUUGAUGUGUGUCUACAAAAAAAAUUGAGAAUAUUUGAACAUGUAUUUAAAAAAAUUUGAUCUCAUUGAGUUUUCUUGGCACCCGGGACCCAUGAAGCACGAUAUUUUUUUCCUUUCGAAGUAGGUAUUUUAAAGUCUCAAAAAAUGAUUCUUUUAUACAAAUACAGUUGGAUAUUCCGUGCAUACCUGUCCUUUUUAAAAAUAAUAUGAUAAAUAAGACACUACCAAAAAGAUAAAAAUCUGGCCCAAAAAACAACAAAUACGCAAGCACAUGUUGGUUCAUGUGUUUGUCUUUUUUUCAUCUUUUGUAUACGUUGCAUAUAAAUAUGUAUAUUGGAAUAUGCACACACAUGCAGCACAACUAUGUAUACACACACAAAAAGUUUCAAUAUUUUUGAGGUAUAACUAAUAUUUUGUAGUUAUAAAAAACUAAUAUUUUGUAAAAAAGAUCGGGCUCCUGAAGCCCGGCCACCAAAGUGCAUUUUCGACCUUGGUUGGCUCCCUAUAAAGCGCGAGAGCUGCCAUGCCCUUAUAUUGUGCGACUACGCCGUUAGGGUGUCACUCUUUGCGGGCGUCUCUCCAAAAAGGGUUUUAACUCCUCAAAAAAAACUUAUGAUGAGUUAAACCACACUUAGUUGAACUCUCAAAGUAUUUAGAUGGUUGAGUUUUUCAGGAGAAGGGUUCGUCGGCUCUCAUAUUUGAUCAUCGGCUCUCAUAUCUUCAUCGCCGUCGGCUGGGAGCUCGUGGCUCAAUUAGGCCAUCGUCAAGCUUCGUUUCAUUGGAAACAAACCGCCAGAGGACAAAAAAAUUUGUGACCCUCCUUUUGACUGGAGAUGCCCAUGCUUCUUCAGCGAGGCGUCAUACCCAUGCAACCCUAGCCAGAUGGGCUGGGAUGACUCCUAUACGUGUGUGGCAUGGCACAACCCACUCAAGCACGCAAACUACACAGGUCGUGCUUGGCUGGCACGUGUUCUGCGCUCCCUAGCCCAGGCACGACACAACAAGGAAACAGGUCGGCCCACUGACGCAUUUAGACACCAACUCGUCUGAUUUGGGGCUAUUUUAGGCCUAUUUAGGCUGUUUUGCGAGCUAAUAUUUAAAGAACUGGAAAAAAUUAAACGGGUGAUGCCGUGCCGGCACACUUUCCCAGCCUCGAGGCCCCAGCACGACCCCAGACGGGCCACGCGUCGGCACGACCCGAUUAGAUAUGUGUCGGACCAGGCCCACCGUAGGGCGGGCACACGGGCUAACAUGUCGGCCUGCCUGGCCCAGAUGGCGAACUUUGCACCCAGGCCAGGCCACUAUCGAUCGAACCCAACUCUUCUAGUCCCCGCUCGUGCACGUUUUGGCCACGUCAUCGAUCCGAUUCAUCUAGCCCGUCCAUCCAAAAGCAGCAGCGAACGACUGGAAGUACUCCAAAGCAUCAAUCCGUGGCACCAGCGUGUCCACCAAUCACAGGCCAUCUCCUUUGUCCUGCUUCCUACUAUAACAAUCUCGCCACGCCCUCUGUUUCCUCACAUCGCAGCAUCUGCAGUCCGCCAGCCCAAAUAUUCCAACCAAACUCGACCACCGCACCACACCGUCAAAGUACCCAUGGCACCCAAGGUGGAGAAGAAGUCGGUGCCCGAGAAGACCCCGAAGGGGAAGAAGCCCACGGCGGAGAAGAAGUUGGUGCCUGAGAAGACCCCGAAGGGGAAGAAGCCCACGGCGGAGAAGAAGUCGGUGCCCGAGAAGACCCCGGAGGGGAAGAGGCCCACGGCGGAUAAGAGGCCAUCGGCGGGUAAGACGGCGUCCAAGGAGGACGGCGGCAAGAAGGGCAAGAAGAAGUCCGAGAAGAUUGUGGCUUACGAAAAUGUUGAAGUAGCUGAGAAAGUGGUUUGUACUAGAACACUCUACUAUCUAAGGCCAUUUGAGCAGGACAAAUAUGGUCAGGUGGGCUCAAGCAGGAGAAAUUCAGAUCAAGAAUUUUUUCAACCAAAAAGGGAAGUGGGGACGGUGGAAAUGAUUAAGCAAGCAUGUGAAGCUCGAGAGGCUGAGAAGACUGAGUUGGAAAAAACAAUUCAGUGUCUGAAGAAAUAGAUUUGGGGCUAAAUCAGGUUUUCGACUUUGUCAUAAGUUGUUCUUUAUUACAGGAAUGUCCUAUGUCAUGACAAGGAAGAACAAAUGAUGUUAUCAUUAGGUUGGUCAGAAGAAACUAUCUCUUCAUGAGAGAGAAUGUAUUUUACUUUUCUAUAUUUGGGGGAUGAGCUUCAAAUUAACCCCACUAAGUAUCAUGUACUCUUCUGAUUUUAUUUUCUCUCAUCAUAUGCUAAAAAACACUAUAAUCUUCACAUGUGAAAGUAAUAUGCCAAUCAGUGAGCAAUAGACAUUUCCAAUUUGUUGAACUGCACUAAUGUGAUUUCGUAUUAAUUAGUAUGUGAACUAAGAUGGCUGACUCGUGCAGUAAUGUGAUUUCUUACUAUCAGGCCUAAGUUGACU